rnacentral:ncRNA from 1 species
GAUUGCAAGAUCCUCUCUGUAAUCGCGGCUG